AUGAACGCUGGCGGCAUGCCUAACACAUGCAAGUCGAACGAGAUCUUCGGAUCUAGUGGCGCACGGGUGAGUAACGCGUGGGAACCUACCUUUUAGUACGGGACAACGUUUGGAAACGAACGCUAAUACCGUAUACGCCCUCCGGGGGAAAGGUCAGCCGCUAAAAGAGGGGCCCGCGUCUGAUUAGCUUGUUGGUAAGGUAAUGGCUUACCAAGGCUACGAUCAGUAGCUGGUCUGAGAGGAUGAUCAGCCACACUGGGACUGAGACACGGCCCAGACUCCUACGGGAGCAGCAGUGGGGAAUAUUGG
rnacentral:rRNA from 1 species